UCUACACACAUGCAAGAGGCUUUUCUCACUAUACAAAAAAAAUGUUUUUAAUAAUUUUCUGAAUAUUCUCUGGUUUUUGGAGUUCCACCUGCAACUGGACACAGAAGUUAAUAAUAGGCUCUGUUUCUUCCGAGUCGAGAGUUGAAAACUGCUGCUGUGGCCUUCCACAAGCUAAGGUGUAACGGCCGUAUGGAAGCGUUCACGUAUCCUCGUGUCACGAAUCCCGCCGAAGAUGGUGUCUCUUCCUGUUCGGGCGGCGCUCAGCGGUCGUCGUCGCCGGCCUACUAGCUGCCACCGAUCCCCUUUUCUGUUUCAUUUAGUGUUGUCUGAUUAGUUGCACCUGUUUCUUGUUUCGGUUUUGGGCUAUUUAAGCCCGGUAGGCCCGCCGGCUUUUGUGCGGGCUUGUUUUCUGUUUUGAUGUGUGUGAUUUCUGUGGAAGUAUUUUGCUCUCGAACCGUUUCGUCCUGUUGUUUUGGACUGGGUCUUAUUGCGCCCGUGUGUGUGGCGUUGACCGACACUGUUGUUUUGGGAAUAAACAUUCCACAUAUCAACUACACUGCUUGUGCAGCGAGUAAGCAUUUGUAGUCAUGUGUGAAUGUUGCUGUCUUAUCCGACUUGCCACAACUGAAGAUCCUUCUGGAAAAAUGUAGUAAUUCUAUUCUAUACAGUUCAACCUGAGUGCUCAAUUAAGUAAAUAUACACUUGGCCCGUUGCGUUAACAGUGAAUUCAGGGUCGGGGCUGGCUGAUGGAGAGAAGAACAGCAGAUGGAAAGCUGAGGAAGAAAGAAGCAGGAAGGAGGAUGGUGAGGAGGGGGAAAGAGGAGAACAUCAGGACAUGCUGACAGCUAAGGAGCUUCAGGACUGUGCAGGGAAAACGUCUCCCACACUUCCCUCAUUGAAGAAUCUCCUGGCCUAAACAUGUUGGCAGAUCUACACAUCACUCAUUAAACUUUCAAACUGGAUUCCUCUCCUUCUUUCGCCCCCUCUUUCUCUCGCCACCUCUCUCCCUUCCACCAUAUAUUAUUCUCCACUCUCCCUCCCCCUCUCUCUUUGUCUCCGGCUUUCUGUGUUACACAGCAGGCUAUGAAACAACCCCAUUGUGCCAAAGAGUGGAUGUGCUUUUAAAAAGAGCCCGUGGAAGAAAAAUGCUCACCCUCUCUUUAUCCCUCUAUCCCUUUCUCCCCUCCGUUAAAUGCCAGUUAAGGGUCUUUCUUUCCCUAUACGUUCUCGUUUGAGUUGCUCUUUACCGAGGGACACCUGUUGAGGAGAGGAGCAGUGCUCUCCGAGCCAGAGAGGCAGGGGGCCAGCAGGUCAGGAGGCACAGUGUCACAACACAAACAACAUGUCCGCCAUGAGAAGAGCUAAGCCACAUCUCGUAAGGUAAACCCCAAUGAGAUAUAGACUACCUGGGUUGCAACAAAUCCCAGGUGGACCCCCUCUUACAUAAUGAGGUGGUCUUCAUUAUAUCAGACCCAGUGAAAAGGAAAGGGGUGAUGUGGUGAUGGUUGGUUAUCCAAACACUGAUAUUGGCAGAGUGAUUGCAUUCUCAGACUCAGUGAAAAGCUUGACAAUGUGCUCUAUGGAGCGGAGGCAGAGGUCAAGACCAAUCUCCUGCCCACCCCCCCCAAUGGUCCAGCUCACUGUCUUAAUUGGGUGCCAUCUGACCCCCUCUUUAGCUCUUUACCAGUACAAUGUGAGCCAUGGAGCAUUAUCCCCCACCCACAGCCAGGAGCAAUCAGAGCCUAAUGCAAGCACACCGCCUGCCUUCCUGGGUAUUACAGCUUAUCUAUUUCUCUUUUUCUAUCCCCCCACCUCGCCGCAAUUCCAGAACACUGGCUGGUGGCAGUAGCUUAGCAACCAGCGAGACAGAGAGAAUAACAGUAUAGAGGGAGAGGGACAGUGAUUCAAUAAAUGGACAAGGUUAGAGGCAGAGAGAGAGAGAGACAGGGACAUUGUCUGCCCCCCUUCCCUCGUUGUUAUCCCCUUCCUGCACUUUUAGAGGUACACCAUUUCUCUCCUGCUCCAUCACUCCACAAUGGACAAGCCUGGGAGGGCCACGAAACAGGUCAGGUUCAGAUAAAGGUAGAAUGGAUCAAACAGGACUACUGAAUCCUUCUCUAAGGAAGAGAUGGCAGAGAAUGGAUGUAAAUAGUCCAGCCUACAUGCCCACAUACACAACAAGCAAAAUAUGCUUAAAGCCCUGUGAAGCCUUAUCUGAAAAUUAAACAAAGAUGCAAACGACAACGUUUACACACACCUUUCUCUGCAUUGUUAUAACAGUGUAUUGUUUUUGACAAUAUGUUUUGUAUUCCUAUACAUCU